rnacentral:lncRNA from 1 species
AACUCUUCUUAGCCAUUGUCCCAACCUUAUAUCAGCUUCUCAUCUCUUCUGAAGCUUCAUAGAACUCUUCUUAAGAUCUUCAAGAGCUUGCCCCUAUUUAUGCACAAGCUCCAUUCUUCUCUUCAGUUCAACACUCCCCCUCAAGCUUGACUUUAGUUGAUCCUAAGUCAAGCUUGGAACCCUGAAGAACUUCCUCAUUAAAAACCUCACCAAGGAAAACCCUUUGGGACAAAACCUUGAUGAGGGAAAAAGAGUAAAGUCUCCAAGGCCUAGGGAUUGGCCAGUGAGUCUUUGUGCCUUACCAACAAUGUAAGGGACACAAAGACUCUGGAUCAUGGCCUCUACAAUCACCCCACGCCUUGUACUCUCCUUACUGCCUAAUUUGGUCUCUCCCCCUUUCACCUAACCUCUUGUUAGGUUGAAGUGCUCGGACACACCAGAUCAGCUUCUUCUUGGAGAUACAACUUCUUCUUACUGAGUCUUGGCUGCUUCUUCUUCUUCUAGAGUAACCACCAAGCUCUCUUGGAUCAUGUAAGCUUCAACACUCCCCCUCAAGCUUGAGACUCUCACAGGAACAAGCUUGAAUGGAUUGCUUCAUGAUCCACACACACACCAUUGCAGCUUCUCUUCUGAUCUUGCCAUCUUCAUGGAAUGCUUGUGGAAGCUUCAGCUAUCUCUCCAAUCACUUCACACUAGAAGCCGCCUUGAUAGAGUUGCCUUCAUCUUCUCACAGCCAAGAGUACUCUGUCUUAGUUUGAGUACUCUCUUGAAUAGACUCGCCACAGCCUAAGCCCGGAUGGCUCCUUCUUCAGAUGCUUGCAAUGGACUUCUUGGAUCGCUUGGAAGCUCACUCAACUCCCCUCCUCAAGCUUGGAUUGAGUAUAGGUCCAAGCUUGCAAGUGAGCUUCAGUGAGACUUCACACCAGUGGCGCAUCACCACUCUUGUAUCAACUCUCCAUUGCUCCACACAAUGGGCAAAGUCUUCCUCUUUCAACUCGGAUGGAUGGUGAACCAAGAACACCUCUUGUGAACCUGAAACAUCACUCAAACUCCAGCAAAGAUAAGACACAAGUGCAUUGGGUCAACCCUUGAUGCAUCAUCAAGUUUGAACACCAAUGUCUUUAAGCAAUGCAACAGAUUAAACUAGACAUUUUCAAGUUCUAAUCUUUGCAAGCAAACUCUCUAAGCACUAGCAUGAUCCUAACAGAUUCACUACAAGCUACUUAGGCAAUUUUUAAAGCUUCUUUACUCAGCAUUUAGACAUGAAUCUAAUGCUUCAAUGUAAGACAGCCAUUUGACAGUAUGCACUAACCUUAAUCAGUUUUAAUUCAUGAAUGCAACAAUACAAUUCAUCACACAUUCAUUUAUAACUUAGGCUAAGCAUUACUAUCAUCACUUAACAUCAGACAAUGCAUUACUUUCAAUCUGUUUUCAGUCCAUGAGCUUCAAACAAUAUCAUUUCACAUUUAGCAAACUCAUUACUUAACAGGAGCAAGCAUUUUACUCUUUAAACACUAAACAAGCCUUUAAAGCAUCCUGGGACAGGUUCAACUAAUUAUAUUUAGCAAUCACAUUAUCCUCAGGUUUAACAAUCACUACACAUCACAAUACACAACUCAUCUUAUCAUCUGCUCAUCAUCAAGAAGGUUUUAAGAAUCGUUUACCACAAGGAACCAGAUUGGUUCCUUAACCUUUCAUGAAACCGGCCAUGCUUUGUUGGACUUGAGAGUGUGAGUCGUCACCCACCUCCUUCACCUUCAGUUCAUGGCCUCCAUCUUGUACCAUCAGCUUCAAAGACCCCUCCUUUCUUCAUCUCCACUAGGCGCCAAGCUCUUGACACCAUCUUCUUUGGAACCGGAUGUGUUCUUCUCUUGGACAAGGCGCCUUGGUACAAGGAUAGCUAGGCCUUGUCCAUACACCUCUGCUUCCAAGGAGAAUCACCAUCAGGACAGGAAGAGAACAGGAUGAGGAACCAUGAGAACUCGCCAAGCUUCAGUCUUCUUCUUCAUAAGGAGCUGAACCGGAUGGAGAGAGCUUCAAUGGUUUGGAUUUGAGCUGAGGAGAGAGCAGUGUGUUUGCGGAAGCUUCAGCUCAGGUUCUGAUGAACCUGGCUCUGAUACCAUAUGAGAUUUGAGAGCUCUGGCUGUGUAUGUGUAUGAGAAGCCAUUAGAGGCAAAGAAUAAGGUCUUGAACUAGUUGAAUAAGAGGUCUGAUGAAACUAGUAUGAACUUGAAUCAGAAACAAAGAGACUUAGAGAGAUUAAGAGAUUAGAGACUAAGAAAGGGGUAGAUUAAGGGAAUCUGAUCAAGAACACACUUUUAUAUUUAUGAAGGAGUUGGGGAAAUCCCCCAUACUCUCUUAAGAGUUUACAAUCGACCAUACAUCAGUUUAUAUAUGUUUUCACACUCUGAAACUCAUAAACCUAAAUCUGAUGGCUCUAAAUGACUUUGGGAAAUGGAUGGCUUGGAUGAGUCUUUGGAUCUGGUCAAGGUAGACUGAAUGGUGAUUGGUUCUCCCUUGCUGGCGCCUGAUUGCUUUACUUAAAGCUCCAUGUAUCUUCCCUCUCCUUUGGCCAGAUACAUGAUCUCUUCUUUGCCUUUACUUUACAGCUCACGCCAGCUUGCACAUUUGAAUUUGAACAAGCUGUAUGGAUAAGGUUUCUUAUCCAUAAACGGUCAAGAGAGCUCAGCACCUUCCUGGUUACUUCCUAAGGCAUCUCGGACAGUAUAUGCCUUUAGGAUCUUUGCUCUCUUGCCCACUUGUUCCCCAAACCUUCUUCAUGCCUUGUAUCACAAGUCUUCAUCAGCUGAGUGUACGGAUUAGGGUUGCUUCUCUCACAUUGCGCCCUAUCUUUGCACAACUCCAAAACAUCCCAAGACUUGAUAGAAACUCUUUUGGAUCAGCCAUGUCCUUCCCGGGCCGUACCAUCCGUACAUGGCCGUACAUGGCUGUCCCUAUCUUUGCACCAUCUACCUUUCUCUCCUUAACUCAUCCAAAGACUACUCCACUUCUAUCUGAACUCUUCUUAGCCAUUGUCCCAACCUUAUAUCAGCUUCUCAUCUCUUCUGAAGCUUCAUAGAACUCUUCUUAAGAUCUUCAAGAGCUUGCCCCUAUUUAUGCACAAGCUCCAUUCUUCUCUUCAGUUCAACACAAAUGAAUUCAAGGGAAAAGAGUUCUCUAUUAUUCUCUUUGUCAAUCUCACUCUCUCCCUCACGGUUUAACCUAGUUCUUUUCUAAUCUCUUCACAAAUCC